rnacentral:tRNA from 1 species
GCUCGCUUGGCUCAGUGGUAGAGCGUAUCACUAGUAGCCGCACAAAAAGCCCAUGAUAAGGUCAUCAGUUCGAUUCUGAUAGUGAGCU